rnacentral:lncRNA from 1 species
GGACUUGCUCUCUCUCUCCUUAUGCUUCCUGCUGUGACCCCAACCAGCACUUAUAACCCAGGGUCCACUGGAGAGCGCAGGCAGGAUGCAGGGGUGAAGAAGGAGGGGCACAGGGGCUGGUUUAGGGGGUGACCAUCUGCCGUUGGUCCAGGGUAUGACCCCGGGGUCCUGGGAUCGAGUCCUGCAUCGGCCUCCCUGCAGGGAGCCUGCUUCUCCCUCUGCCUGGGUCUCUGCCUCUGUGUGUCUCUCAUGAAUAAAUAAAUAAAAUCUUUAAAAAAGAAAAAGAAGGUGGGGUACACAGAGGCAUCCUCUGGGGGGACGAUACAGUGGAAUCCAGCCCACCUGGCUCCCUUCCCUCCCCACCCACCCCCGGCUGGCCUUCCUCCCGCAGGUCCUCGUGGCACCCUGGCCAGACACCCUUCCGGGCCGGGAGGAGCCCACAGAGAACCACCCAGACGUGGUUCUCGCCCUCCCACGCUGGCUGCCUUGGCCUCCACCGUGCCUUGGCCUCCCUGUGCUGAGGCUGGGACUUCUGCUGGCGGCAGCCGCGAGGACAAAGUCCCCAUCACCAUCAGCAAGGGGCCCGGCUGUAGCACUGGGUCCGUGGGGGGCCUUAGAUGGAGCGCGGGCCACCGGGCAGGGGCCGUGAGGUGAGGAGGGCGGCAGUGAGGACACGGUGGGGGGAGUGUGUGCAGGCUCCCAGCGCCAGGGCUCUGCCCCCAUCCUCGCCCACCUCCUCUUGCCCCCUCCGAAGCCCAAAGCCUCUCUUGGCCUCUUGUGCGCUUGCCUGCUGCCCUGUGGUCGCCUGGAGUCCUCGCUCCGUGGCCGCAGUGGGGGGGCUCCUGGGCGGAGAGCUCAUGGAGCCUGUUCCCAGCAAGGAGGGGGCCUCCUGCCCCUCUCAGGGCGGUCUGUGGGAUGCCUCCAGGCCUGGGCAGCAGACCCGACCCUGGGCGCCCAAGAGCCAGGGGCUGACCUUCCACUUCCCUUCCCCCCCUUUUGUGGACUCAGGCCUGGCCUCAGAAGCCUCACCCCGGGGAGUGCGUCCAGUGGGUCAACACCCGCCCCCCAACCCCGCAGCCGGCCCGGCCCCAAUCAUCUGCAAGGAAAGCCAGCGCUGUGUGAAGGGCACGUCAAACGGCUUCCACGUGAGAACCUUCUCAGGCAGGGCAGGAGUCUCGUCGGGCUCCAGGAGCAAAUCGCGUGGGUCCGGGGUGGCCUUCAGAGCCCCAGCCGUAGGUGAUUGGGGUGACCCGGGUGUCUGCUCAUGUCCCGUCUGGCAUCGUCCUACCUGGGAAGACUUCGCUGUAAGGACACGGCAGCCCCGAGUCAACGAGGGGAGCCAUCGGGGCGUCGGCACACGUCCCUCCGUGUGUGAGAGCUGCCCGGUUAGCAGAGAAGCCGGGCGGCCCGGGAGUG